rnacentral:rRNA from 1 species
CUGUGUGGUUUGUGCGUAUGCUUACUUCGGUUUGUUGCGCACUGCUAUACGAGCAUGUGGUACUUCUUAGAGGGAUUGGUGGAUAUCCAAGCCACACGAGAGAGAGCAAUAACAGGUCUGUGAUGCCCUUAGAUGUUCGGGGCCGCACGCGUGCUACACUGACAGUGGUAGAGAGUUUGGUAUCCUCAGGCGAAAGCUGGGGGCAAACUUUUCAAUUACUGUCGUGCCUGGGAUCGGGGUUUGUAACUAUCCCCCGUGAACCAGGAAUUCCUAGUAAGCACAAGUCAUCAGCUUGUGCUGAAUACGUCCCUGCCCUUUGUACACACCGCCCGUCGCUACUACCGAUUGAAUGGUUUAGCAAGGUCAAUGGAUCGACUGCAAAUCGGUGAAAACUGCUUGCGGUUGAGAAGCUGGCCGAACUUGAUCAUU